rnacentral:rRNA from 1 species
GGCAUCGAUGAAGAACGCAGCGAAAUGCGAUAAGUAAUGUGAAUUGCAGAAUUCAGUGAAUCAUCGAAUCUUUGAACGCACAUUGCGCCCAUUAGUAUUCUAGUGGGCAUGCCUGUUCGAGCGUCAUUUCAACCCUUAAGCCCCUGUUGCUUAGCGUUGGGAGCCUACAGCCUGCUGUAGCUCCUUAAAGGUAGUGGCGGAGUCGGUUCACACUCUAGACGUAGUAAAAUCUUUAUGUCGCCUAUGGAUGAGCCGGCGCCUUGCCGUAAAACCCCUAAUCUUUCACAAGGUUGACCUCGGAUCAGGUAGGAAUACCCGCUGAACUUAAGCAUAUCAAUAAGCGGAGGAAAAGAAACCAACAGGGAUUGCCCUAGUAACGGCGAGUGAAGCGGCAACAGCUCAAAUUUGAAAUCUGGCCUUCGGGUCCGAGUUGUAAUUUGCAGAGGAUGCUUUGGGCGCGGUGCCUUCCGAGUUCCCUGGAACGGGACGCCUUAGAGGGUGAGAGCCCCGUACGGUUGGACACCAAGCCUCUGUAAAGCUCCUUCGACGAGUCGAGUAGUUUGGGAAUGCUGCUCUAAAUGGGAGGUAAAUUUCUUCUAAAGCUAAAUAUUGGCCAGAGACCGAUAGCGCACAAGUAGAGUGAUCGAAAGAUGAAAAGCACUUUGAAAAGAGGGUUAAAUAGCACGUGAAAUUGUUGAAAGGGAAGCGUUUGCGACCAGACCUUUUCCCAGCGGAUCAUCCGGUGUUCUCACCGGUGCACUUCGCUGGGUUGAGGCCAGCAUCGGUUUCCGCAGGGGGAUAAAAGCCUGGGGAACGUAGCUCCCUCGGGAGUGUUAUAGCCCCUCGCAUAAUACCCUUGCGGGGACCGAGGACCGCGCU